GAUGAACGCUGGCGGCGUGCCUAAUACAUGCAAGUCGAGCGAAUGGAUUAAGAGCCUGCUCUUAUGAAGUUAGCGGCGGACGGGUGAGUAACACGUGGGUAACCUGCCCAUAAGACUGGGAUAACUCCGGGAAACCGGGGCUAAUACCGGAUAACAUUUUGAACCGCAUGGUUCGAAAUUGAAUGGCGGCUUCGGCUGUCACUUAUGGAUGGACCCGCGUCGCAUUAGCUAGUUGGUGAGGUAACGGCUCACCAAGGCAACGAUGCGUAGCCGACCUGAGAGGGUGAUCGGCCACACCGGGACUGAGACACGGCCCAGACUCCUACGGGAGGCAGCAGUAGGGAAUCUUCCGCAAUGGACGAAAGUCUGACGGAGCAACGCCGCGUGAGUGAUGAAGGCUUUCGGGUCGUAAAACUCUGUUGUUAGGGAAGAACAAGUGCUAGUUGGAUAAGCUGGCACCUUGACGGUACCUAACCAGAAAGCCACGGCUAACUACGUGCCAGCAGCCGCAGUAA
rnacentral:rRNA from 1 species